CAUACUUUGUAUGUCACCUGAGUGCUUGUUGUCGACCUCUAAAGACUGCUCCUAAAAUGUACAUAAAAUUACAAUGUACAGAUCCCUUGUUUAGACUUGAUGACUCCAGCAGCAUGAACAGCAUGUUCUCAAUGAAGAUUCCUGCUGAAGAUAUACACGAGUCUCCUGGUCUUCUUCUGAGUUUCCAGCAGAAACCUUGCUGUUUGCUAGCCAGCUGUCACUCCACUUUACACCUCGCCUGAUUGCAGCACUGAUCACAACUGUUCUACUCACCCAGGACGCAGCGUAUAUAAACCCCGGUUCUUCAGGCACUUAUAGGCAGAUUGUUCCGGCUUCCAGGGUGGUUUACUGCUCACCCAGCCUGUCGGCUCUCUGUCUGCUCACUUCCUGCUCAGCCCCACCCCACCCUGCCCUGCCCCACCCCACCUCACUUUCCUUAUGGUUCACCAACUCUGUGCUUGGCUGGCGCUUUGACUGAGCAUCCACCUCUCACACUGUCGACGUGAGUUCAGAUCCCGACUUUGGCUGCACAGUUACCAUGCUCCUCUCCCACCCUCCCUUACUUCCUCAAACCCUUAAAUAAAAACCUGCAUACCCUCAA